rnacentral:rRNA from 1 species
UGAGGAAUAUUGCACAAUGGGCGAAAGCCUGAUGCAGCAACGCCGCGUGAGGGACGAAGGCCUUCGGGUUGUAAACCUCUUUUCUGAGGGACGAGCAAGGACGGUACCUCAGGAAUAAGUCUCGGCUAACUACGUGCCAGCAGCCGCGGUAAAACGUAGGAGGCGAGCGUUAUCCGGAUUUACUGGGCGUAAAGCGCACGCAGGUGGCUGUGUAAGUCGGACAUGAAAGCUCCUGGCUUAACUGGGAGAGGUGGUUCGAAACUGCAUGGCUUGAGGUUGGGAGAGGGACGUGGAAUUCCCGGUGUAGUGGUGGAAUGCGUAGAUAUCGGGAGGAACACCAGUGGCGCAAGCGGCGUCCUGGCCCACACCUGACGCUGAGGUGCGAAAGCGUGGGGAGCAA